UAGGGAAUCUUCCACAAUGGACGCAAGUCUGAUGGAGCAACGCCGCGUGAGUGAAGAAGGCUUUCGGGUCGUAAAACUCUGUUGUUGGAGAAGAAUGGUCGGCAGAGUAACUGUUGUCGGCGUGACGGUAUCCAACCAGAAAGCCACGGCUAACUACGUGCCAGCAGCCGCGGUAAUACGUAGGUGGCAAGCGUUAUCCGGAUUUAUUGGGCGUAAAGCGAGCGCAGGCGGUUUUUUAAGUCUGAUGUGAAAGCCCUCGGCUUAACCGAGGAAGUGCAUCGGAAACUGGGAAACUUGAGUGCAGAAGAGGACAGUGGAACUCCAUGUGUAGCGGUGAAAUGCGUAGAUAUAUGGAAGAACACCAGUGGCGAAGGCGGCUGUCUGGUCUGUAACUGACGCUGAGGCUCGAAAGCAUGGGUAGCGAACAGGAUUAGAUACCCUGGUAGUCCAUGCCGUAAACGAUGAAUGCUAGGUGUUGGAGGGUUUCCGCCCU
rnacentral:rRNA from 1 species